rnacentral:tRNA from 1 species
AGCGCGGUAGCCAAGUGGUCGAAGGCAGCGGCUUGCAAAGCCGUUCAUUCAUCGCGAGUUCGAAUCUCGCCCGCGCUUCCA